rnacentral:rRNA from 1 species
CCUACGGGGUGCAGCAGUGGGGAAUAUUGGACAAUGGGCGAAAGCCUGAUCCAGCCAUGCCGCGUGUGUGAAGAAGGCCUUCGGGUUGUAAAGCACUUUCAGUGGGGAAGAAAGCCUUGGGGCUAAUACCCUCGAGGAAGGACAUCACCCACAGAAUAAGCACCGGCUAACUCCGUGCCAGCAGCCGCGGUAAUACGGAGGGUGCGAGCGUUAAUCGGAAUUACUGGGCGUAAAGCGCGCGUAGGCGGUCUGAUAAGCCGGUUGUGAAAGCCCCGGGCUCAACCUGGGAACGGCAUCCGGAACUGUCAGGCUAGAGUGCAGGAGAGGAAGGUAGAAUUCCCGGUGUAGCGGUGAAAUGCGUAGAGAUCGGGAGGAAUACCAGUGGCGAAGGCGGCCUUCUGGACUGACACUGACGCUGAGGUGCGAAAGCGUGGGUAGCAAACAGGAUUAGAUACCCUAGUAGUC